UACGUAGGGUGCGAGCGUUAAUCGGAAUUACUGGGCGUAAAGCGUGCGCAGGCGGCGCGUUAAGACAGGUGUGAAAGCCCCGAGCUUAACUUGGGAAUUGCGCUUGUGACUGGCGUGCUGGAGUGUGGCAGAGGGAGGUGGAAUUCCACGUGUAGCAGUGAAAUGCGUAGAGAUGUGGAGGAACACCGAUGGCUGAAGGCAGCCCUCCUGGGCCAGCACUGACGCUCAUGCACGAAAGCGUGGGGAGCAAACAGG
rnacentral:rRNA from 1 species